rnacentral:lncRNA from 1 species
GUUGUUGACUUCUUUGUAUUGUGCUGUUAGCCACUUCCUGAGGAGGAUGAAAAGGAACUUAGGAAGACUUGGGGAAGAAAAGGUGAGUCCUUGAUCAAUCAGUGUUGCCUAUAGCUUAUAAGGUGUCAAGUAAUAUUGGAUAAACUUCCAAUUGUGUUUUCUAUGCAGUUUGACUACCUCAUCAUGGGAAAAGUAAUGACGAAUUUUGGCAGAAGGGAUAUGGUGUGUCAAUCAAUAUUAUUGCAAAGCAUAAAUUGGUGUUCAUGAUAUAUGGUUUGCGCCACUAGAAAGAGAGAAACACAGACAUAAAUGGGCACGCACUCCUCGUCUGAAGGACAACGUGCAGCUGUGACGAAGAAGAUGCAGUACCUAGAUUAUUCCAGGAAAGGGGAAAGUGUCUGAACACUCGACACAUGAAUGUGCCAUCAUUGAGGUGAUCAAACUAGCGUGCCCGGGAGGUGAUCAAACUAGCGUGCCAUGUCGGGCCGGGCCGGCCACAAGGAUGGAUCCAAAUUAAGCCGGCAAGAGAACCUUCACAUUGCACUAGACCACAUUAAUCAUUGUUCAAUCAAA